ACAGUACUCCCUCCGUCCAAAAUACUUGUCAUUAAAAUAAAUAAAUAAAGAUGUAUUUAGAAUUAAAAUACGUCUAGAUACAUCUCUUUUUAUCCAUUUUGAUGACAAAUAUUUCCGGACGGAGGGAGUAUAUG
rnacentral:pre_miRNA from 1 species